rnacentral:rRNA from 1 species
GAUGAACGCUGGCGGCGUGCCUAAUACAUGCAAGUCGAGCGAACAGACGAGGAGCUUGCUCCUCUGACGUUAGCGGCGGACGGGUGAGUAACACGUGGAUAACCUACCUAUAAGACUGGGAUAACUUCGGGAAACCGGAGCUAAUACCGGAUAAUAUAUUGAACCGCAUGGUUCAAUAGUGAAAGACGGUUUUGCUGUCACUUAUAGAUGGAUCCGCGCCGCAUUAGCUAGUUGGUAAGGUAACGGCUUACCAAGGCAACGAUGCGUAGCCGACCUGAGAGGGUGAGCGGCCACACUGGAACUGAGACACGGUCCAGACUCCUACGGGAGGCAGCAGUAGGGAAUCUUCCGCAAUGGGCGAAAGCUUGACGGAGCAACGCCGCGUGAGUGAUGAAGGUCUUCGGAUCGUAAAACUCUGUUAUUAGGGAAGAACAAAUGUGAAAGUAACUAUGCACGUCUUGACGGUACCUAAUCAGAAAGCCACGGCUAACUACGUG